rnacentral:rRNA from 2 species
CUGGCGGCGUGCCUAAUACAUGCAAGUCGAGCGGAUUGAUGGGAGCUUGCUCCCUGAUAUCAGCGGCGGACGGGUGAGUAACACGUGGGUAACCUGCCUGUAAGACUGGGAUAACUCCGGGAAACCGGGGCUAAUACCGGAUAACUCAUUUCCUCGCAUGAGGAAAUGUUGAAAGGUGGCUUCUGGCUACCACUUACAGAUGGACCCGCGGCGCAUUAGCUAGUUGGUGAGGUAACGGCUCACCAAGGCAACGAUGCGUAGCCGACCUGAGAGGGUGAUCGGCCACACUGGGACUGAGACACGGCCCAGACUCCUACGGGAGGCAGCAGUAGGGAAUCUUCCGCAAUGGACGAAAGUCUGACGGAGCAACGCCGCGUGAGUGAUGAAGGUUUUCGGAUCGUAAAGCUCUGUUGUUAGGGAAGAACAAGUGCCGUUCGAAUAGGGCGGCACCUUGACGGUACCUAACCAGAAAGCCACGGCUAACUACGUGCCAGCAGCCGCGGUAAUACGUAGGUGGCAAGCGUUGUCCGGAAUUAUUGGGCGUAAAGCGCGCGCAGGUGGUUCCUUAAGUCUGAUGUGAAAGCCCACGGCUCAACCGUGGAGGGUCAUUGGAAACUGGGGAACUUGAGUGCAAAAAAGGAAAGUGGAAUUCCAAGUGUAGCGGUGAAAUGCGUAGAUAUUU